GCGACUUCAUGCACAGCUACGGCGAGUGAGCGGCAACAGCUCAAAUUUGAAAGCUAGCCUUCGGGUUCGCAUUGUAAUUUGUAGAGGAUGCUUUGGGUAAAACGCCAGUCUAAGUUCCUUGGAACAGGACGUCAUAGAGGGUGAGAAUCCCGUAUGUGACUGGAAAUGUUAACCUAUGUAAAGCUCCUUCGACGAGUCGAGUUGUUUGGGAAUGCAGCUCUAAAUGGGAGGUAAAUUUCUUCUAAAGCUAAAUAUUGGCGAGAGACCGAUAGCGCACAAGUAGAGUGAUCGAAAGAUGAAAAGCACUUUGGAAAGAGAGUUAAAAAGCACGUGAAAUUGUUGAAAGGGAAGCGCUUGCAAUCAGACUUGUUUAAACUGUUCGGCCGGUCUUCUGACCGGUUUACUCAGUUUGGACAGGCCAGCAUCAGUUUCGGCGGCCGGAUAAAGGCUCUGGGAAUGUGGCCUCCACUUCGGUGGAGGUGUUAUAGCCCAGUGUGUAAUACGGCCAGCCGGGACUGAGGUCCGCGCUUCGGCUAGGAUGCUGGCGUAAUGGUUGUAAGCGACCCGUCUUAAACAACGAACAAA
rnacentral:rRNA from 1 species